UUAGCACUUGGAAGUUACACUAUGGCCUACUUGUCCAGGAAUCUGCCUGACACAUUCAAUGAGGCCAAGUUCCUGUCAUUCAGCAUGCAGGUAUUCUUCUGUGUUUGGAUCACUUUCCUCCCUGUCUACCAUAGCACAAAGGGGAAGGUCAUGGUGGCUAUGGAAGUGUUCUCCAUCUUGGCUUCCAAUAUAGCACUCCUAGAUUGAUUUUUGCCCCCAAGUGCUACAUUAUUUUGUUAAGG
rnacentral:lncRNA from 1 species